UUCAGCUUGGCCCAGUUCAGAGACAGCUGCUGCUCCGACAGAUCAAACGUCAGGUUCCUGGGGGCCGCCGACGGCACUGAGGACGCCAUGACACACAGUCGUCAACAGAUCUGUGACCUCACAGGUCUGAAGUCAGUGUCACAGUUCAGCCUGCAGGGGGCGCUGCAGAGACUGCAGGCAGCAGCAGAGUCCUUUCAUAUGGAUUGAGGCCACAGACAAAAGCUGAUUGUACGGGGAGGACUGGAAUCUACUGGAUCACCUCCAGCUGGACCACACACACACACACACACACACACACACACACACACACACACACACACA